CGUCGGGAGGACGGAUAGCCUGCUAAAGAUAGAACGCUCAUACAAAUCGUGCUUACUUCCGUUUCAAUAUGAGUUUUUAGUAACUCUCCGGUAGGCGGCGCUAUCUCUAGUAUGGGCAUUCGCUUAUCUGUCAAAAUCGGCCGGUUACAUGUUUAUCUUUCGAAAGUAAAUCGCUAUAAUUUAAUAAUUGUUUCUCUUCAUAUUGGCAUAUUGUAGCAGUGAUGAUAGUGAUAUGGAAUUAUUUCAAAUGAUAAUGGAUUGUGAUGCAGAUAGUGAUAGUGAGGCCGAUAUCAUAUGGUUAGGAAAAUAAAGAUCGUCUGAAUUACAUGGCGAAGAUCAAUAAUUACGAAUUUGACUAUAGAUUUCUGAGCAAAGGUGUUGUGAAUGAAUUGAUUAAUUUAAUGAGACCAUAUUUGAGUGUAACGUCAAAAAGAUUCAAAUAUAGGAGAGGAAUUUAGAAAUAGAAAAAGAGUAUUUUGAAUGUGUAAUUUGUGUGCAAUGCAUCAUUGAUGUUUCAAAAUGUUGUUGCUUGAUGGCCUGGGUCUACUCAUGAUACAACUAUAAUUAACCAUUCCGAUUGAAAAGAUGCAUUGGUGUUUGUAAAAGAAGACUCCCUGUACAUCAUUGAAAAGUAGAUUAAAACUAGAAAAUAUGCAAGCUGUUAUUAUAGCUGCCAUGCUGCAUAAUAUCGUCAGAAGUAUGAAUUUAGAAGAAUUAGAAUCAGAAAUUUCAGUCGCAGAUACAUUACAGGAAAAUAAUAUAAUUGUUCGUAACAAAUUUUCAAAACUUACAUCUGAAAUACAACUAUGUACUUAUAAAUAAUUGCUUCCAAAGAUAAUUUAUAAAAUAAACUCCAAAGAUAA